UGGGGAAUAUUGCGCAAUGGGGGAAACCCUGACGCAGCGACGCCGCGUGAGCGAAGAAGGCCUUAGGGUUGUAAAGCUCUGUUGUAAGGGAAGAAAGGCAACCGGAGUAAUAUGCUGGUUGUAUGACGGUACCUUACGAGGAAGCCCCGGCUAACUACGUGCCAGCAGCCGCGGUAAGACGUAGGGGGCGAGCGUUGUCCGGAAUUACUGGGCGUAAAGAGCACGUAGGCGGAUAUUUAAGUCAGUUGUGAAAGACCGCGGCUCAACCGCGGGGUUGCAAUUGAAACUGGGUAUCUUGAGGGCAGGAGAGGUCAGUGGAAUUCCUGGUGUAGCGGUGAAAUGCGUAGAAAUCAGGAGGAACACCAGUGGCGAAGGCGGCUGACUGGACUGGCCCUGACGCUGAGGUGCGAAAGCGUGGGUAGCAAACAGG
rnacentral:rRNA from 1 species